GUCGGUUAAAUCGGUAUUGCUCGAGACACGGUCAGCAGUGAUACAGAUAAUAUUAUUACAAUUCUCGUCGAUAAUAUUACGUAUUUUAAUAUUUCAUCCGUUCGACGUCGACAACUACACACAACAAACAAUAAUAUGGUUUCCUGCAAAGUGAUUUUGGCCGUCGCCGUCGUGUUCGUAGCUGUUGUUCAGAUCCAGGGUAGACCGGGCGACGAAACCUUAUAUACAUCGAUCAUCGAUGAAGUUAAGUCCAUAACAGGUAACAUAACCAAAAUGGUCGACGAUAACACCGCAGAUUUGACCACUUCUGCCAAGAACAAUCUGAAUGCUUUCACCGAUGGUCUCAAAUCCAAACUUGAAGCUUUUAGUAAAUCGUUGGAAGAAAAAUCAAAAGUUUAGAAGUCCGAUCUGUUCAAGGAAUCCGCCAAGCAAUUUCAAACAGUCGUCGAUACGUACGCCAAAAAAUUGCCUAUAAAUAUACAACGAAUCUGUUUUUUUGUAAAUGUAAUAACGAUCAUGGUAUCCCCCAACAUAGGUAUAUUAUAAGUUUUGUGAAAAAAAUAAAAAUGUAAACAUUUA